AAGUCGUAACAAGGUUUCCGUAGGUGAACCUGCGGAAGGAUCAUUACAGAGCGUGAGGCUCAGUCGUGGCGUCAGCUGCGUGCUGGGCCGACCCUCCCACCCGUGUCGAUUUCUAUCUUGUUGCUUUGGCGGGCCGGGCUACGUCGUCGCUGCCCGUACGGACAUGCGUCGGCCGCCCACCGGUUUCGACUGGAGCGCGUCCGCCAAAGACCUAACCAAAACUCAUGUUGUCUUUGUCGUCUCAGCUUUAUUAUUGAAUUGAUAAAA
rnacentral:misc_RNA from 1 species